CCUACGGGUGGCUGCAGUGAGGAAUAUUGGUCAAUGGCCGGAAGGCUGAACCAGCCAUGCCGCGUGAAGGUCAGUGCCCUAUGGGCGUUAAACUUCUUUUGUGCGGGAGCAAUAAUGGUCACGUGUGGCCAGACGAGAGUACCGUACGAAUAAGCAUCGGCUAACUCCGUGCCAGCAGCCGCGGUAAUACGGGGGAUGCAAGCGUUAUCCGGAUUUAUUGGGGUUAAAGGGUGCGUAGGCUGGGAGGUAAGUCAGCGGUGAAAUGCCCCGGCUCAACGGGGUGAAGUGCCAUUGAUACUGCCGUGCUGGAAUGCGGAUGAAGUGUGAGGAAUGUGUGGUGUAGCGGUGAAAUGCAUAGAUAUCACACAGAACACCGAUUGCGAAGGCAUCUCACGAAUCCGCGAUUGACGCUGAUGCACGAAAGCGUGGGUAUCAAACAGGAUUAGAUACCCUUGUAGUC
rnacentral:rRNA from 1 species